ensembl:lncRNA
CCACUAUUUGUCCACUUUUCCACUAUUUUUAUAGAACGUCCCCAAACGGGUCCCAAAGGCUGGGGGCGGGCUUCCCCGGCCCCCGGGCGCUCACCGGCGCCCCCUCUGGCCAUUUCGUGACCGCCGACACAAAACGCUCCGAUCGGCCCGCGCUCUCGGCGGGGUGCUUGGGGGGGGCCCACGGACCCCCCUGUGAAAUUUGGGACCCCUGGGACUUUUCUAAAAAAAUCCCACCUGCCAUUUAUUGAAUGGGUUCGGCCUAGCGGUUUCGUGGACACGGCUCGCGAGGGUCCGAUCGGGCCGAAUUUCGGAUAUUUGUCUCGGGGGGACCCCCUUAACCGGGCGAGAAAGUAUGGUGGCCAAACGACCAUCUUUAGGGGUCAAAAGGUCAUAAAAGGGAGCGCACUUCCACCAAACUGGUACGCGUUUAAAUUGGAGGUGGGACGUUCACCGUUCGGAGACUAAAGGUCAUAGGGCCCCGAGAUUUGAGAUUCUGGCAUCUCAGGGGCCCCUCACCCGAGGCCCCGAAGCACGUAGCCGUAGGACCUUGCGAAAAAAAGUGCAUCGCACUAGGGCCCCGCGCUUUUGACUGCACGCUCUGGGGGCCCCCAGGAGCCACCGAGCCAAGUUUCGGGCUCCUGGGACGUUUCUAAAAAAAUCCCACCUGCAAUUUAUUUGAAUGGGUUCGGCCUAGCGGUUUCGUGGACACGGCUCGCGAGGGUCCGAUCGGGCCGAAUUUGGGAUAUUUGUCUCGGGGGGACCCCCUUAACCGGGCGGGAAAGUAUGGUGGCCAAACGACCUUCUUUAGGGGUCAAAGGGUCAAAAUAGUGUGCGCACGUCCACCAAACUGGUAC